CGCCGGUCCCGGAAGUUGGGACCCUUAGAAUGCUUUGCGUGCGAGCAUCUCGAGUGUGAGAGUUUUGGUGGCAACUUGCUGGCUCAAAGAAGAGUUCCCUCCUGAGUGAAGCCAGGAUCCUUCCCCCUUGGAGAGAAGAACACACAGGUGUGCUUUGGGUCCACAGCGUCCCGUUGAUUCAUCCAGCUGAAGUGAGUCCCUGUUGUCCGUGCCUGUGAGAACACCAGGACAGCUUCUCUCUCCCUGCUUCUGGUACAGUAAACCAUGCAUGCUUACUCUAUUACCUUCUUAUUGGGCCUCUUUUUGUAGAAACUUGUUCCAUGGACCAGUGUGUGCGGAGUACAAUGGCUCGCAUUUAAGAGACGCUCAGCGAUUGUUUUCUAGGUGGAACGCAACAUUGCCUCUGCGCUCACCCAGUGGAGAGGAAGGUCUAGUAUCAGUGCCAGCCUGGCAUUUAUUUGGGGUGCUGGGCCUCCCGACUGUAUCUCUGGAUCAGGGAGGGCUUCGAGGAGGGAUUCUUGAGAAAGCCCUUGGUAGAUGCAGAGGAGGUGAAAUCACGUGGGAGUGAGAGAGAGGCUUCAGAGAGCUGCCUGAUUGGAGUUUCUAAGCAACUGUCCAUCUUGAUUGACUGGUUUCCCAGGACCUCAGGGUUUUUCAUGCAGAGCAGACCCAGUAACUACAGGAAGACAAGGGUGGAUGACGCGCAGACUCCUGGGCUGUGGGCUCAGCUCCCUUCCAGUGACCCAGUGGAGCCAGAAGGCACAGGUGACUGGAAAGCAGCCAAAUCUUGGGCCAAUUUUGAGUCCCUAGAUGGGUCACUGUGAGUGUCAGGCCACCGGCACCAAACUGGUGGGCUGCACGUGCAACUUGUCAUGCGUGGUAGCCACACAUUGGUCUGUGUGACCCAGCCCAGGGGAGCCACCCCCUGGAGCGGCACUCUGACACCCUCCACUCUGAUCUAAACACAGGUUUUUAAUUUCCCAGUGUUCUGCCCUUUCUCCCUCUCGCUGGUUGGCUUCUCUGUCACUUCAUUUCCUGCUAUGUUCUCAUCUUACAACAAAGGUGAACAGAGCUGACCUCUCCUUGCCCCAAAGCAGAAUAAAAUACAGAACAGAUUUUUGUGAAUAAAAAUAGAGGCGAAUACCACCAGCCAGUCGCUGUGGGCUCCACAAGGUCCAUCUGGUCUACUUCAUACUGGCCCUACAGUUUCAACCUCAGGGCAGAGAAGCCAAGGCAGGGCCAAGCCCUGGGGCAAGCAGUGGACAGAGGCCAGCUCUCUGAGCCACAGUGAGGCUAGACCAGGUGGUGUUGGACAACUCUUUCCUGUGGAGGGCAGCUGGGAACAUGGUGACCUCCUUUCAAGUUGCCCUUACCAGGGGACCAAGGAGGAAAAAUUGAAAUGGUAAUACCUCGUAGGAAGGAAAUAUCUGGAACGUUGGGGGAAAUUACAAGAAGGAUGCAGAAUAUUUCUUAGAAUAGUAGCAGGGACUGGUUAGAGUCAAACAGAGACCCCAGGUUGGGCCCUUGUUCUUUUGCAAUAGGCUGUGUUACCUUAGGUAAGACGCUUCACCUCUGUUUUGUCAUCUGUGAAAUGGAGACAGUGAGGGAGGUUUUGGAAGUGAACUCGGAGUCAAAUAAGCCACCACGUCUUAUUCAGGAAGUGCCUGUCAUGGGAUCUAUGAUGUACGCUCUUUUCCAUUGGGCUAUUGGCUUGAUUGUCAGUGGGACCCCCUGGGACUUCACACCCCCCAGCUUUAGUCUCUCAGAACUAUCUGGAAGUUUUGUCAGUUUUGUACACAGAAUAAUGCUUCUUCUUGUCCCAGUUUGUGACAGAUGUCUGACUUCAGGGCAGGUUCUCUGCUCCUGUAGUUGCCACUGGGGCACAGCCUCCCAACCAUGCUGACUAGCAGGUCCCGCAUCAUGCGAGGGCAGGCAGAACACACACCAUCUGAAGGCUGAGGUCAUCUCACCGAGCAUCCGACAGAACUCCCAGAGGUGAGUUAGUGCAGGCAGAGUGAGAAAUGUGACAGAAUGGCACAGAAAAAAAAGAAGCAAAAGGAAGACCUUUGUCAAUAUUCAUUGGCUUGUCAUUUUCCCUUUGGGAUUAGAGAAAUGCAUCGUCUCUAGAUCCUUUGAGAUUCCUGUGGGGCUUGGCUUCCAUGGUGCCUGGAGAUGAGGCACUCCGUGUCCUUUGGAGGACUGCCCUUCAAGUUAUCAUCCAAACUUCAGACCUUCAGGUUUCCAGCUAGCACUUUGUGGUAUAUAACAUUCUAGACGUGGAUCAAAGUGUGCGCUGUAUUUCUAACUACGGGUUGAGGUAAAGUGGUUAGAGAAUCUUAGAGUUACUAGGGAAUCCCAUGCUCUGUGGUGGCGGUGUGGUGCUGAGCCCUUCCCUUCUUCAAGUGUAGAAUAAAACUAUAAAAGCUGUCCACAGGAGUUGGAGGCUGGGGUUCUGAGCAGUGAUGAGUUCCACUCUUCUUCCUCCUCUUCCUCUUCCUCCUCCUCCUUCCUUCCUUCCUUCUUCUUUUCCUCCCUUUUCCAAUUUUUUAUUGGUUAUUUUUAUUUACAUUUCAAAUGUUAUCCCCUUUCCAAGUUCCCCCUCCACAAACUCCUAUCGCCUCCCCCUGCCUCUAUGCAGGUGCUCCUCCACCCGCCUACCCACUCCUGCCUCAGCCCCCUAGCAUUCCCCUACCCUGGGUCAUUGAGCCUUCACAGGAUCAAGGGGCUCCUUUCCCAGUGAUGCUCAGUAAGGCCACCCUCUGUUGCAUAUCCAGCUGGAACCAUGGGUGUCCCCUUCCCCAUCCCCCGCCCCUGUGUACUCUUUGGUUGGUGGUUUAGUCCCUGGGAGCUUUGGGUCUGGUUGCUUGAUAUUGUUGUUCUUCCUAUGGGGUUGCAAACCCCUUCAGCUCCUACAGUCUUUGCCCUAACUUUUCCGUUGGGGCCCCCCUGUUCAGUCCAAUACAGAGUUCCAUUCUUAUCAAGAGCCUUAGGCACAAUGCUAACUUCACUUCCACCUAAGGCUUUCUCUCUGAAUGGUGGAAAAGGUUUGUGUGCCCUGCUGCCCUCUGGUGGCAAUCUCUGGAACUCGCCGCAGCCUUGACUUCUAGCUUGGAUUUGUUGAUGGCUGUUGCUUUCCAGAUUUUCCUGUCUCUUUGUCAGAUAGGUCAAGGCAAGGUUGAUUUCCAGGUGAUUUUGUGGAUCCCCACAUAUGUAUUAUGUAUUAUGAUAUCAAAUACUCACUCUGUGGGGUGUGGAAGAUGGCGGCUCAGUAGAUGAGCCAACUUGCUAUGAAAGAGGAUCUUAGUUCAAAUCCUAUGCACUCCCAUGAAAUCCGAUGUGGCUUCUUGUGUUAUAACCUUAUCACUGGGGGCAGAUACAGGUAGAUCCCAAGAGUUUGAUGGUGACCAUAGCCUAGCAUGGAUGCAUAUGUGUGCAUGUACACACACACACACACACACACACACACACACACAAACGCGCAUGCAUGCGUGUACGCUAACCUUCUUCAAGAUACGGGCCCUUGAAAUGGGGCAGUGAGUAGAGUGGAGAUCUACUUUGUAGCCAAAGGUUAGAUGGGACCUGCCUGCUUCACAGCACUUAGCUGUGCAUCGCACACUUGGAAGGCAUCUUAUAGGUCUAAACAAUUGUUUUUAAGUCGACAGAGUGGGACCUGAUGUUAGAAGACUGAGCGAGUUGUCUCUUCAAGUUUCCUUUGCAUUACUUUUCUGAUGGAACUGCUCUUAUUCAUGCUUCCCCUUAAAGAUCUAAUUAAACUCCAUUUGGUCUUUGUCCUCGUGUAAGAAGAAUAGCUUCACAGCAGAUUUUUCUUCCUUAGCUCUCAUGAGACAAAUGUCUAGUAAAUCAAAAGGAGACUGGAUGUUCCCCAGCAUUGUCUCUGGUUCCACACAGGUCAAUUGUCUGCAGACAAGUCAGGGGCUUUAUAUUUAUGACCCAUGCAUCUUCAAAUGCCUGGAAACCGAUAGCUUGGACGUUUGCAUUCAGUAGACGUUUAAUCAUUGUAUGCUAGAAUUUAAUCGAUGAGUGAAGAGGUGGAGUCUCAGAUGUGGUUCUUGAGCUGUAGUUACAAUGCACAGCAUGUGAUGCAGAUUGGGUGAGUGGACUCUGCUAUUGCAUGGCAGAGACACGGACUCGAGUGCAAUAGUCAGGCAAAAUGUCCAUUGCAAUGCAAUUCGAAGAGUUAAUAUGACCAAAUGAUAUGAUUGGAGAUUUGAAAGGAAUACUGGAAUUUUGCAGAAUUGUUUGCAGCACCCCUUUCCAGAGCGGGAUGAUCUUACAGAAAGCAUGGGUAAACACUUGUGUUUUAAUGGGUUAUAGCUUCACUUCACUGCAUUAACAACACAAACAGCUCACACAACUUCCCUGGGAUCCUGUGAGUAGUUCUGUUUCAGAAGAGCCUGAAGUAGGAGCAAGGCAAAACAAAAGACAAAGAAAGGAAGUUAUAUCAAGGAAAACUAAAACUAAUAUGUAGUUAAAAUUAGGGCUAAAUCCCUAAACAAUGAAACUCGAGGAAUACAUUCAGAGGGAGUAUUAUAUUUUCCAUCCAAUCCUGGGCAUUGAACGCAGGCUUUGGACAGAUCAGGUAAGUAUUCUUACCCCUGAAUUGCAUCCAGCCCUGAGUAUUAUGGUUGUGCUAUUAAGUACUUUUAGGGACAAUUUUGGAGUUUAUUUGGAACGAAAACAGAUACUCAAUCUACCAGCAACUUGGAACAAGGCUCAGGUACUGUGGGUGUGUUUACUGAAGUUUACUGAAGAGGGGCCACUUUUGGUGGCCACUCUUUGAUUACAGGGGACCUUGUAAAGCUAUGUGUCUGGAACUCCACCAGUGAAGUCCGCUAUCAGGCAGAAGUGACAAUGCUUAGUGCCUCCUUUCAGGUGGAUGGAUUUUCUUCUAAAAUUGAGCCCAGAAAUCCUCCCGGGGAGGUAGAGGAUUCCAGAACUCUUCCUCCACCUUUACUAUGAUGUAACUUCUCCCUAGUGCCACCAUCCCCAACAGGACAUCAUAGCAGAGGGCAACAUGAUAGGUGAGGUUUCCCUCUACCGCCUAGAGGUGUAACCAGGUGACUCCCAGCCCCAUUGAAUCUCUUGAACAAAGACAAGGGACUGGACUCCUCCUUUGCUCAUAAUCCCAAGACUUUAGGGACAGAAGAAUAGCCAGAGAGGGCACAGUAGAGGACAGCGAGGUUGCCUAAGGUCUUUCCCUAGGACAUUCCUCAUAAAUAUUUUGAAGUGAAGAAUCUAUUCUGAAGCUGGGCAUUUUCCAGGCUUUUGGGACAUGCGUCAAGAUGGGGUGUGAGACACUGGCACAUGAGGACACCUUCCCGAGUGCUUCCCACUGAGCAAGUACACAAACUGUCCCCAGAGCUGGUGCUGGGGAUACCAUUUGGUGGUCUGGGAGUUGCUGAUUGCUUUCUUUGUCACAAAGCCUUUGAUUUCUACUGGCUCAUGUGUACACAUGUGGGUAUUCCUGGUGGCCUGACCAUUGAGCAUAAUUAAAAGAAAUGAUUGGCUUUCUCUUGAUGCAAACAUCUGGUUUUACUUGAAACAAGAUGACUUAGCUGUUUCAGAAACAUUCUUGUAACCCUGGAUUCACAUUUUCUUCUUAAAAUAUAUAUUUUCUCUGUUCGGGGCAGCAUGGUAAUGUAAACACUCCGUGUAACUGACAACCGACACUUUCAGAAGUAUGUGGGGCUCUGAGCACCGGAGGAACCGCAGAAUGAUUGCAUCUUUGAUUUGAUCACUGGAAAUCUGUUUCAACAGUCACUCUGAUUUAAACAAUUACUCUGAUUUAUACUCGAAACGCUGUAAUUUGCAGAAAAUGUAACCAUGUGAGGACAUUUUGUAGAGUAUGUCUUGGCAACUCCUCUGUUUUGUUGUGAUGUCAUUCCCCUUGGCUUCAAGGAGUCGCAGAGGGAGCAGAAGAAGGGAAACAGGGCUGUUCUUUUGAUGUGUUUUCUUGACCACCGUGGAAAAUGUUCCCAAGUCUUCCUGGCCUAUCCUAUCUUACUCCCUGCCCCCAGGGCUACCUCUGCAGCGUAACAGAUGACAUUCAGGAUGGACGCAAUACCAAACUCUCCUGUAGGUCAAGUAAUUCAUCCCAGAGGAUGCGCUAAGUGAUUCUGAUGGUCCUAUCUCCCGUUCCUUCAAUUUAGGCAGGACAGGUGGGAUGUCUAUUCUUACAUGACCUACACCCAAAGCCAUGGUCAUUUGGAUCAGUCUUUUCAUUGCCCAGGAAGGAGAAAGUCUUAUUUAGCUCAAAGAAUACUGCCAGGGUUCUAGAAUAAGCCACUAUCAGCAGCUUAUUGAUGUAGACAACUGCACAUUGGUCCUGUUUUAUGUGUAGAGAAUUCAUCUCAAAAGCAUGAGAAAUAAAUUAGUUGCAGGUCUCAUUAGUGUGAUAAGAUAUCUGACAAAAGCAACUUAAGGAAGGAAGCAUUUAUGCUGGUUCACAGUUCUAGGGAUCAUAUCACGGCAGGGAAGGUGUUGCAUCAGGGCAGUCUUGUGCCCACAACUAAGGAAUAGAAAGCGGUGAAUGAAUGCUGGGCACGUGAUACUAACUUCUUUGUAUUCAGUCCAGGAACACAGCUCAUGGAAAUGGUAUUGUUCAUGUUUAGGGAGGGUAUUUUGUCCCAGGUAACCUAAUAUAGAGAAUCCCUCAUAUGUAUGUCCAGAAAUUUGUUUCCAUGGUGAUUCUAAAUCCUAUCAAGGUGACAGUCAAGUUCAAAUAUCAAGGUCAACAAGGUCAUAAAGGAGAAAAAUAGGUGGCCUAUGAUUUGGAGAGUUCAGCUUAUGGGGGUUAAUGUUCAAUAUUAGCUCUGUCCUCAUCUGUCACCCUCCCAAUCCACCUAACUGUCCUUGUGCUGCUGGGGAGAAACCAUGGAGGGCUUGAAUGUGAACUGUAUGCUUGGGUACCUGGUUCCCAGGUUGUGGUGCUGCUUGGGAAGGCUGUGGAACUUUUAAGAGGUGGAGUCUGACUGGAAGUUGCUGGGAGUGGAUGAAAAUAUAAGUAGAACAUGCCAGGGCUGGGGGAAGUCUAGAAAUGUGUGUUAACUUUUCUAAGCUAUUUUCAGCUUUCCUGUAGUCCUGUAGUACAUCUGGGAUUUAGACAUUCUCACAGGCCACCCAAGGGAGCUAUUAUAGCAAGUGAUUCAAUGACCCUGGAACAGAUGUAUGGGUGGACCUAUUAGGUCAUUGAUAUCUGGAGAUGUGGUAGAUUCUGAGUCAGGGAGGAUUGCUUAUCCAGUUGCUAUAAUAAAAUAUCCUGACUAAAACAACUGAGAGAGAGAGAGA